rnacentral:rRNA from 1 species
UGACCACGAGACCGAUAGCGAACAAGUACCGUGAGGGAAAGUUGAAAAGAACUUUGAAGAGAGAGUUCAAGAGUACGUGAAACCGUUCAGGGGUAAACCUGAGAAACCCGAAAGGUCGAACGGGGAGAUUCAGCGCGGCCCGGAUAACCGCGGCGAGUCGGCAACGUGCGACCGUUGGCGUUCGCGCCGACGGCUCCGUGUCCGUUCCGUCCGCGGCCGAACGUGUGCACUUCUCCCCCUGUAGGACGUCGCGACCCGUUGGGUGCCGGUCUAAGGCGUGCGGUCUAGUCCGUUCGAGUUUUCGCUCGUUCGAAACCGCGAACGCCCGACCGGCGACCUACCGACGGUACGAUCAUGGCGAGGGGCCGCGAUCAGUUCGCGUCCGGCCAAUCUCAAGUACGGACGGUAAAUCCGAAGCGCGGACCUAGCGCCGCAUCCGGACCCGUCCGACUGCUGGCGAUUGCGUUCUCGGACAGACCCCUGUUACACGCCGGUCGGCGGCGCUAUAGCUUUGGGUACUUUCAGGACCCGUCUUGAAACACGGACCAAGGAGUCUAGCAUGUGCGCGAGUCAUUGGGACUCGAACGAAACCUAAAGGCGUAAUGAAAGUGAAGGUUCGCCUCGCGCGAACCGAGGGAGGAUGGUCGAUCGUUCGAGGUCGUCCCGCACUCCCUGGGCGUCUCGUUCUCAUCGCGAGAAGAGGCGCACCAAGAGCGUACACGCUGGGACCCGAAAGAUGGUGAACUAUGCCUGGUCAGGACGAAGUCAGGGGAAACCCUGAUGGAGGUCCGUAGCGAUUCUGACGUGCAAAUCGAUCGUCGGAACUGGGUAUAGGGGCGAAAGACUAAUCGAACCAUCUAGUAGCUGGUUCCCUCCGAAGUUUCCCUCAGGAUAGCUGGCGCUCGCUUCUCGCGAGUCUCAUUCGGUAAAGCGAAUGAUUAGAGGCAUUGGGGUCGAAACGGCCUCAACCUAUUCUCAAACUUUAAAUGGGUGAGAUCUCCGGCUUGCUUGAACUGUGAAGCCGCGAGAUAUCGGAUCAGAGUGCCAAGUGGGCCACUUUUGGUAAGCAGAACUGGCGCUGUGGGAUGAACCAAACGCCGAGUUAAAGCGCCUAAAUCGACGCUUAUGGGAUACCAUGAAAGGCGUUGGUAACUUAAGACAGCAGGACGGUGGCCAUGGAAGUCGGAAUCCGCCAAGGAGUGUGUAACAACUCACCUGCCGAAGUUACUAGCCCUGAAAAUGGAUGGCGCUGAAGCGUCGUGCUUAUACUCUGCCGUCAGAGGCAUGUGAGACGGUCCUUCGCGGUCGUCAUGAAGCCCUGACGAGUAGGAGGGUCGCGGCGGUGAGCGCAGAAGGACCAGGCGCGAGCCAGUCUGGAGCCGCCGUCGGUGCAGAUCUUGGUGGUAGUAGCAAAUACUCCAGCGAGGCCCUGGAGGACUGACGUGGAGAAGGGUUUCGUGUGAACAGCCGUUGCACACGAGUCAGUCGAUCCUAAGCCAUAGGCGAAAGCCGAUGUCGAUGCGGUGUAUCUUUCGGAGCCUGUCUAUUUAUAUAAAUAUAUAUUAUUAUUAUAUGUACAGAGAGAGAGACGCACACCCGUCGGGCGAAAGGGAAUCCGGUUCCUAUUCCGGAACCCGGCAGCGGAACCGUUAUUAAGUCGUGCCCUCAUUCAGAGAGUUCGUCGGGGCAACCCAAAAAGACCUGGAGACGCCGUCGGGAGAUCCGGGAAGAGUUUUCUUUUCUGCAUAAGCGCUCGAGUUCCAUGGAAUCCUCUAGCAGGGAGAUAUGGUUUGGAGCGCGAAGAGCACCGCAGUUGCGGCGGUGUCCGGAUCUUCCCCUCGGACCUUGAAAAUCCAGGAGAGGGCCACGUGGAGGCGUCGCGCCGGUUCGUACCCAUAUCCGCAGCAGGUCUCCAAGGUGAAGAGCCUCUAGUCGAUAGAAUAAUGUAGGUAAGGGAAGUCGGCAAAUUGGAUCCGUAACUUCGGGAUAAGGAUUGGCUCUGAGGAUCGGGGCGCGUCGGGCUUGGUCGGGAAGCGGGUACUGGCUGACGUGCCGGGCCUGGCCGAGGUGAAGUGGCGUCUCGCGACGUUCGCGGAACCGAGUCCGGUCCCGUGCCUUGGCCUCCCACGGAACUUCCUUGCUGCGAGGCUCGGCGGGCGGCUCGCCCGUCUGCCGAUGUCCUCUUCGGCCGCCAUUCAACGAUCGGCUCAGAACUGGCACGGACUAGGGGAAUCCGACUGUCUAAUUAAAACAAAGCAUUGCGAUGGCCCCUGCGGGUGUUGACGCAAUGUGAUUUCUGCCCAGUGCUCUGAAUGUCAACGUGAAGAAAUUCAAGCAAGCGCGGGUAAACGGCGGGAGUAACUAUGACUCUCUUAAGAACGGUACCCCUGUAACCGCCUAUUAUAAAGGUGGGGGAUCGGAAGCUGAUGAAGUUUGGUGUGGUAAAGGAUGACUUACUGCCUCUUUAUUAUAUGUACAGAGAGAGAGACGCACACCCGUCGGGCGAAAGGGAAUCCGGUUCCUAUUCCGGAACCCGGCAGCGGAACCGUUAUUAAGUCGUGCCCUCAUUCAGAGAGUUCGUCGGGGCAACCCAAAAAGACCUGGAGACGCCGUCGGGAGAUCCGGGAAGAGUUUUCUUUUCUGCAUAAGCGCUCGAGUUCCAUGGAAUCCUCUAGCAGGGAGAUAUGGUUUGGAGCGCGAAGAGCACCGCAGUUGCGGCGGUGUCCGGAUCUUCCCCUCGGACCUUGAAAAUCCAGGAGAGGGCCACGUGGAGGCGUCGCGCCGGUUCGUACCCAUAUCCGCAGCAGGUCUCCAAGGUGAAGAGCC